GACGAACGCUGGCGGCGUGCUUAACACAUGCAAGUCGAACGGAAAGGCCCUGCUUUUGUGGGGUGCUCGAGUGGCGAACGGGUGAGUAACACGUGAGUAACCUGCCCUUGACUUUGGGAUAACUUCAGGAAACUGGGGCUAAUACCGGAUAGGAGCUCCUGCUGCAUGGUGGGGGUUGGAAAGUUUCGGCGGUUGGGGAUGGACUCGCGGCUUAUCAGCUUGUUGGUGGGGUAGUGGCUUACCAAGGCUUUGACGGGUAGCCGGCCUGAGAGGGUGACCGGCCACAUUGGGACUGAGAUACGGCCCAGACUCCUACGGGAGGCAGCAGUGGGGAAUAUAGCACAAUGGGCGGAAGUCUGAUGCAGCAACGCCGCGUGCGGGAUGACGGCCUUCGGGUUGUAAACCGCUUUCGCCUGUGACGAAGCGUGAGUGACGGUAAUGGGUAAAGAAGCACCGGCUAACUACGUG
rnacentral:rRNA from 1 species